rnacentral:rRNA from 1 species
CUGGGGGGGGGCCUAAUACAUGCAGUCGAGCGAAUCUUUGGGAGCUUGCUCCCAAGGGUGAGCGGCGGACGGGUGAGUAACACGUGGGCAACCUGCCUGUAAGACUGGGAUAACUUCGGGAAACCGGAGCUAAUACCGGAUAAUUCAUAUUCCUCUCAUGAGGAAAUGCUGAAAGACGGUUUCGGCUGUCACUUACAGAUGGGCCCGCGGGGCAUUAGCUAGUUGGUGAGGUAACGGCUCACCAAGGCGACCAUGCGUAGCCGACCUGAGAGGGUGAUCGGCCACACUGGGACUGAGACACGGGCCAGACUCCUACGGGAGGCAGCAGUAGGGAAUCUUCCACAAUGGACGAAAGUCUGAUGGAGCAACGCCGCGUGAGCGAUGAAGGCCUUCGGGUCGUAAAGCUCUGUUGUUAGGGAAGAACAAGUACCGGAGUAACUGCCGGUACCUUGACGGUACCUAACCAGAAAGCCACGGCUAACUACGUGCCAGCAGCCGCGGUAAUACGUAGGUGGCAAGCGUUGUCCGGAAUUAUUGGGCGUAAAGCGCGCGCAGGCGGUCCUUUAAGUCUGAUGUGAAAGCCCACGGCUCAACCGUGGAGGGUCAUUGGAAACUGGGGGACUUGAGUG